ensembl:lncRNA uncharacterized LOC115009612
GUAACAGGCUGCUGCUGUGCUGGCAGAGAUGACUGUGUGCCUUUAUUGAUAAUAGCGAUCAGAAACUGACGUCGCUUCACGUGACUCUUCAGAGGAAAAGACGUCUAAUUUAUCUAAAACCACAUUUCAUUGUUUACUCUCUCCUCGCAUGGUUUCCUUGCGUCUAUCCAUGCAUCCCCGAUGGGAGGGACUAAGACACAAGUGAGGGAAACAUGGAUGCGAAUUAAGAGACUUGGGAUGUCUUCAGUUCGGUUGCAGGGCCAGAUGGGGAGACGGAAAUCGAUCUCAGCUCUCCAUCUUGAAAGACAUCCCAACUCUUGAAAUACCUCUGAAGGAGCGAGGAGGCUUGCCGGCACCGUGGCGUAUAAAAGAGGCGUGACACGUGGCUGGAAUGGGAAUCAAUGUAACUGUUCCUUUUUUACCCUCUCGGUUAUAUUUGUCUGCCCCUCUUUUUAAGCUUUACAGAAGAAAAAACACACCAAAACAACACAAUUAUUGGCCGAGAUACACGUGACUAUUGCUCGCUGUUUCGGGUCAGCGCUGAUUGUUGUGUGUGGAUGCGGCGGCGAUAGAUGGACACAUUUUAGUUCGGCUUGUUUCCCUUGCUUGCUUUUUAUGGCUGUAAAUAGAGCUGCCGGCCCUUAUUCCAUUUCCCCAUUGUAGCAACCUACAGACAGAAGUGUCCUCUGCUCGCAUCUCCCGGGGGCGGGACUAAGACGCUAGGAGAGGAGAGGAAUCUCAGGAUAUACAAACUGGGAAAGUCAAAGGCCUAAGGAUACACAAAAUAUGUACUAUUGAGGAAUGAACACCGACAAAGAGAGCGGAGUUAUUUACGGCACCGUCCUCCGGGUGUUACUUCUGUUACAGUUGAAAUUGGACUUCGGCGGCGGGAUUUAAAAGAAAGUUAGCACUUCAACAGAAGUCAAAAAUGCAGCCUUCUGCAUGGAUGAAUGGACAGUACCGACAGGUUGGACCAUCUUCUCAAUCCUCACAGGCUGCUGCUCAGUUAACCCAUGACGCAAUGAGGAAUCAGCAAACUAGGACUACAAAUAACUCAUGCCAGUACAUGACAGUGAGCACAGGAAUCCAACCACCACAAAGUGCUAAUUUCAUCUGUCUCGAUGGAGCGUACUCAAACAGACAACCGUCAAAUUGGCAGACCUCAGCAGUUCCUCAUCAGGUAGUUUCGUGUCAGCAGCCUGUCCCAGGGAAACCUUCUUAUCUGACUCUGUUGUUAUCUGGCAAGCUGAAACACUCGUCUAAUAAUACGCAAAGAGGAAACCCUGGUUUGCCGGUCACUUAUGGAUUUCAGCAAGAUUUUCAGCAGAACUCUGUUCAGAGUCCAUCGACCCAGAGUCCACCCAACAUGAAGGCACAAACUACAUACCUUCAGCAAGACAUGUCUGCACUUGUGAACCAAUCAGUUAGAGUUCACAGGAAACCAUCAAUAAGCACACAGGAUGGUAAUGUUGUUGCUGAUCUCCAACAUUGUAGGCAUCAGAAUAGCUCAUUUCACAACUUUAAUGGAGAGCUUACUAAACCUGUUUCAGGAUACACUGCUACAACAGCUACCUCGCCUCCAAAUGAAGAGGUGGUUUACACAGCUGCUUCACACAACAGACAGACUGCUCGUAACCACAAACACAGACCAAAUGGCACGCAGCAUGGUUUCUCUCCUUCCACCUCCCCGCCAAGUUAUAAUGCAACCAUCUCUUUCAGAAACGACAGCAUUACAACAAGCUCAUCUUCCAGUCUACAUAAUUCGCACGUUUCCACCACGAGUCAGAAAACUCUACACUACUUGGGACAUAACAAUAGGGGGGAGGCCACCUCCUCCAUAAACUCAAAUUCAUAUAACGCUGCUGUUGAUACACAACAAGAUAGGCACAGACUCGACCAUAUCGCAAGAAUUGAGGACUAUCUACGUAACUCGUUUGUUGCUGGUCCAGAUGUUCGUCCAGUGCAUACAAGUUCACCUUACGGAGGGAAGCAGUUUGCCAGCGAAGUCAGAAUGACAGAGUCUAAUCAAAAUAUGCAGGCUGUGGCAUCAAAUGUCACUGAACGUCACAAUUCUGGACAAUCUUUGCCUCAAACCACUCACAGUGUUAUGUUAAGACAGCACAGCGUAGAUGUGCCACUUCAGCAAAGCUCUGUACCAAACAGAUUUUAUGCGACAGCAAAACAAGAUGGAAGUGAAAAUGGAAGUAAGGCAGCCAAUGCAUUUUUUCCUAAACUAAUUGUUAGGUCUUUAAGUGAUUCAUCCCAACUGAGGCAGAUGCCUGAAGGCAUUUCAUCACAGAGAAAUGAAACCCAGUCAUCUGUUGCAAACAAUCGUGAAAGGGUUCAAAUACUUGAAACGCUCUCCUCAGUUAAGGCAAAUGACGGCUCCAUUCACUCAUUUCCUGGUCAAAUAAGAGCUGUUGCUGUUGUGCAGCCAUUGUUGCAGGAAAUCUACCCUGUUGCCAGAAAGCAGUCCAGUUCUAACUCAAUCAGUCAAUCGUCGGAGGUCACCGCAACAGAUGAAUCUUUGAGUAACCCUGAAAAAUUAUUUAUUUCACCAAAAAACAAACCGGUUGAGUAUUGGAGACAUUCAGCAGCAUCCAAUCAUGGUACUUUUGUCUCAUCUUCAGAAUCAGCUGGGAAAAAACACUUCCGUGCAGAUGAAACGGGAUCUGAAGUGGCUAUUAACAUGCAAGUAGAUCAGCGUGUUGCUCAACAAUCAGUAACCACCAAUGUUUCAGUGAGACAAAACAAUGACAAAAAUGAGAUGCCAACAGAUCCAAAAGGGUUUUUUGAGCUUUCCUCAGUCCCAACAACUACUUGGACACCUGUCACAUUAAUUGAAUUGAUACAGGAUACCGAAAAAGCUCAGGUACAGUUGAAAGAGUUUUCUAAAUUAGAGUCUGUAAUCCAAUUAUUAUUAAGGACGUUUUGGAGUGGCCACUCUGAAGAAUUUAGAUGUAAGGUCAAGACAGGCUGGUACAAGGAUUUAAUCACUGGUGUUAACAACUUCUGCAUCAAACAUGUAGCACAACACACUGUCGUACUGUCACAAGUAAAGCCCUGCUUUAGGAACCAACUCAAAAUCUACCAUGUCCUCAAAGAUGAUGAAGUUUAUUCAGAACUGCCCUACAAAUCAUCAUGGUUGAAUGUCAAUGAGCAGCUCGAUGACAUUGACAAAGAGUUUGACUUCCCGCAGUCGUUGAAGCAUGACAACCGGCCAGCUCGCGUCAUGACAGACAACGGCAUUCCUUCACAAAUUGUAAGUGAGGUGUCAAACAAGAAGUUGUCAUCAACAGAGCAUUCACCGGUUGACUCGAGUGAAGAAAAACAAGACUCCACUGUUGAAGCCAAUUCAAAACAAACUGCCUCCCCUAAUAAAACGGAGAGUGCCGAUUCCAGUGACCCAUGUUACUCAUUUAAAAUCCAAGUUUUGACUCCAGAAGAGGCCAAAGUUAUUUAUGAGCAAGUACAAAUCAAGCUGCCAAAAAGUAUGGACAUGGACAAUCAGCCGGAGAGAGUCACAAAUAGCUCUGUGGAGGGUGACUUACCUACGGUUAGGGAUGCCACAUUCAGCGACACAAAACUGGAGAACAAAUCAGUCGGUCUAGUAGACCAGGUUUGCUGCCUUUCACGGUGGGUGGAAAUCAUUUGCGGGUCAAACGCAGCUAAAUGUGAGUGCAAGUCCACGCAAAGCCAUGAAGAUAUUACCGACAAGACCCUUGAUAAGGAAGAGAUGGCAGAACAAAAGAAAGAUGAACUGUGUGCGAUCAAGUCUGACAGCAAAUUACACUCUGCCACUGACGGAAAGAAGCAAGCAGAGGGUGACAAGAACGUAGACCAUCCUGUUAUGACACUUUGCUGGCCUGAGCUAUGCAAUGGACACAGUCUCACCAUUGACCAAACUGAAGAUGACAAACUUCACUCAUAUGCUGACAAAGAAACAACAAAUAACAUUUCCCAGAUUAUACUCCUAAGUAAAAACGGAGAUUGUCUGUCCAGCAGUGAGAAUGAAAUUCCCAACCAGAUGCCAGACUUUGAAAAGGAUUUGGAACGAGCUGAGGUGAAAUUGACAGAAAGUAACCAGUCAAGCCGUUCAGACGAGAUAGAAACGAAGAAAUUCUCCAUAAGUGAGACUGAUAUCCAGUCAGACCCUGAAGUGGACUGUAUACAAAAUCAGUUAAAAUCUACAGGAAAUGUGCAGUCAUGUACUUUGGACAGUAGUGGCGAAGGUAUUGAAAAUCUCUCCAGCAGUAAAAGUGAAGUUGAGAGCCAGAUGUCAGACCUCGAAGAAAAUUGUAGACGAGCGCAGCUGACGUCUACAAAUGGGGCAGAGUCAUCAAUGGAAACCGAAGGACAAACUCAAAUUGUGACGGGUGCCCUACAGACAACAUGGACUGGUAAACAUGACACUGUUAAAAGAAAGAAGAGACGAAGCAGUCAUAAUAAUUUUUUUCCAGCUUUUAAGAAAUCAAAGAAAUGCAAAUCCAUUGUUGAUGUGGAGGACGAUUUGAAUUGUGGGAAGGUCUUUCUUGGUAGUGAACCAUCAGCCUCAAACACACGAACUGUAGAACUGGUACUGUUUGGAUCAACACCACAAAACAAGUGUCUUUUAAUUGGCAGCAGAAAGAGUCAUAUUUCAUCUCCAGAGGCUGUGUAUGAUGCAGUACCAAGGCCUCCAAACGUUAUCACUGUGAAACUCAGUCCCUUAAAGAGAAAGUCCAGUGAAACUGUCUCAACACGGAAACAUUCAGUCAAACGAUCACUUUGCGAAAAAUCAAGGACACGUUUUUCACUAACUAAAAUUAGGCACAGACGCAGACUGAAAACACAGGCGUAUACUUUUGAGUCUUUAUCUUUGGGCUGCCAGAGGCUGCCAGCUUCCUCUGAAAUGAGGAUCUGUAGUGGAAAAACUAAGCACUGCCAGAGUCUGAAGAGGAGUCGCUCUCACGGACUCAAACGUGGAGAGCAGAAUACGGAGAAACGCACGGUCACACUCAACCAGCCUGCUGAUCAAGAGAGAAGUAAGGCUGGAAAUGGAAGCCAUGCUGUGAUGCCACUCCAGAACAACGAUGUCCUGAAGUUCAAUGUCUUACCCAAUACCUUCAACUUCAAAGAUGGAUCCAAUGGGAGAAAGGAAACUAAUGAUCCUGUUCCAGACAACCCUGGCUUUGUUGAAGGAAAUGACAAGAGCCACAACAAAACUGUCCAGAAAGCAAAAGGUACAUGGUGUAAAAAUCCCCAGAAGAAGUGUAUAUUUUCUCCCCCCACCCCCACGACCGACAUCCUCUUCCAUGAGUUUCAGAAGAAAUACAAGGAGAAGAAUCAGCCAUCCGUGGACGAAUAAUCUGACCAAAGUUUUUAUUGUCUUCUGUCUGGGAAAUUCUUCAUUUGAUAAAUUAGCUUCCAAGACUGUUACAGAAAUGAUGUCUCCGUGUUUUUGUGUUGCAUAUUCAAAGAGGAAAUUGAAGUUCAGUUUUGUAUUAUAGUUGCUAUUAUUAUAGUUAUGAGUCACAGUUGUUCUCAUCACUUGAGGCAUACAAUUGUUGUUUACAUUGCUGUAAAAGCUUUCAAGUCAACAAAUGUCCUAAUGUCUCACAGUAAUAUUUAUCUUUUAGAUGUACUGCAUAUUUAAGCUUCAUGUUUAUAUUUUUUAUACUUUUAUACAAUAUUAAUAUUUUUCUACAUUAUUUGCCAGACAUAUUUUUUGAUAAGAAAUGUGAUAUAUUGUUCUAAUAAGAAAAGUUUGUUCAUUUGAAACAAGUCACCAUUCUUGUUUCAUUUCACUGUUUGAAACCAGAAAUAAAUUACUGAGCUGAACAUAUACUCCAUCUGUGAUUCUGAAACAGACAGCCAGGCAAACUUGAUCAAGGGUUUAAACAUGGCCACGUGGAUUAUCAGCAUACUUUCGUUACACGUAUUAGUUAAAUACAUUUCACAGUCAAAUGUACGGAGUUGUACAGGAAUCUGUUGUGCUGCUAAAGUUUCACAGUAAGACUUCCUGACCUUGAGCGAUGACUGGGUACAGAGAAGGACUUUCUUCUGGUCAGUAAAUGAGCAUAAAGAUCCAAACUGAAAAACAAAACAAAAACCUGGUCGGUGUGUUAGUUAGGCAUUUACGUUGGUAUGUGAGACUGGAGGAAAGAAGUUUUCACGUUUCUCUCACCAGCAGGAAGAAAUAACUCAAACAGCUGACGGCACAUGUGCAGACAUUCAGUAGUACUUCUGGGUCCCUUGCAACCCUACACUUAGUGGGACCCCACAGACCUUUCACCUCAUGAGUGACAUACAUCCUCUGUUAAAUAGAAAAAAAGACAAAACAACAUUUCUAGACAACACACUUAAAUAAAGUUAUGAGGCAGACAAUUCAACUUAAUUUCUUAAGUUUGUGUUCGUCCAAAUUAGAAUGAUAACUUCUGUUAAAUUACUCAAAGCUGGAGUAACUUAUUAUUUUACAUGAUCAUACACAUUAUAUUAUGUGCAUCUGACUUUGAUCUUCUCCAGUGAAUUUCUUUUGAAUCUGUUAUAACUUAAAGACCAGAACAUCAAUAGCUUAAAAGAUGUAAGUGUUUGAGGAGGAGGUCCAGACUUCACCUCCGGCCCUGAAAGGACCUUUUUCCUUCAACAAACUGUUUAGGGCUCAGACAGUUUGCAUCUCUUGCUGACGUCAGCAGUUGUAGCAGGAGCUCAUAACCGCAGCGUCCUGUCUUUUGCAUAUCUUUCUUGAUCUUCGUGCUAAAAGUCCCACAAUGCAUCUAUUACUGUAUCACUGUAUUAUUAAAAAUAGUAACUUUUGCAAAAGAAACCCGGCAUGUUAAGCAAUUUUACGUUUCUAAUCACAAUUUAUCAAGCUGGUUAUUACCAUUCAAUCUUAGGUUUCUUAAGCAGGCUCUAACUUAAUGUUUAACUGCGUAUGUAUAAUAUGAUAUAUAGUUACACAAUCUCAUUUUCAUUUUUCUACAGAGCAAAAAAAGUAAAACAUUGACAAAUUCAGAGGCAAACGGAUUCAUCUUUUUGUAUUAGGGAUUACUUUAUGUUUUCAUAUUCGGUACAUCGAGCAGCACACUACCAACACAGGAGCGGCAGACUUUGGUAAAUAAAGAAUAAUAUUAAUUGGAGACAAGCUUUUGAGAGGUAAACUGGGGACAGAUUUGAGCUGUGCAGAUUGGACACACGUGGGGGAGUACAUGCUAUGUGUUUUGGAAGAUAAUAUUUAAGAUUCACGGAUGAAAAUCUUAGAAAGAUUAUCCUGGCAAAACCUUUUUUCAACUGGUAUUAAAUCAUUAACAAAGGAGAGAAAACAAUUUAGAUCAGACUUUGGAAAAGAAAAGGGAUCACCAGCAUUUCUCCUUCUCAGUUGCCCGUCGGGAGCCUUUUCAUAUAAAAAAAGAGUAUAAAGAAAUCUGUUUGAACUACCCUUCAAACUGAUACAUUUAAUUUCAUAUGAUUUCCCUGCCAAAUCCUAUUAUCUAAUGUUAUCUCAAGUCUCUUCCUCUUGCCAGGGAGAUGCCAGUUGCAGGUUUGUUAAGAUAAUCUAUAAUGAACAAUGUCUUAUUCAUUAAGUUUACAAUAAGGGGCCCUUUGUAUGAUCCAUACCAUAUGUGCAUAUGUUUUGGCAUGAGAUCCAUGCCCUAAGGAAAUUAAGGGGAUCCCUCAAUGGACAUGAGGAAGUGACCGUCACAUCUAGAAUAGAUAACCUUUGUGCCAUGAUCCUGGGGCAAUGUCAUGUGGUUCAAUGUAUGACAAAGUUUGUGCGUUGAUUUAGGACUCAAAUAUAUAUACGGUUUAGAUUCUCUUUGUCAGUUGAGACUCUACGCGGUUGUGCUUGGAAGCAAGUAAUGUUCCCAUUAUUAUUGUUUAUUGCGCAACAAAAUAAGAAUGAAUCAACUAUAUCUGUAUUUGUGUUUUAUGGAUUCCUCUCUGUUUCAUACGACAAUGUUGUGAGCGAUAAAUAUCCUCGACAGGUUAACACUGUAAUAUUAGUCUAUUUUUCCUCAGGUGUUUCUACUCUAUGAUAAACAUUAUCUGCUGCUUUUUGCUACAGUGAAGAUACAACCGGCUGGCUCCACUAAAUUCAUAACACCGAGGUAAUAAACAGACACAGUUGAAGGCUAUUUGAGAAUAUUACACGUUGUUCUAUGUUUCCAUGUCUCCUCUAUCAAAUAAUAAGAAUACAUUACUGACAUUUAUGUGAAGCUGGAAAUGUUUUGUGUUUUUUUCAUGUCUUCAUCGGGCUACAGCUUGGAAACAAUAUAUGAUAUAAUAUAACAUCAUUUUAUAUUGAAACUGAUGCUGGAAACCAUACCUGCUAUUUUGUUUUAUUUUAGAUUGCUAACAGACCUGUUUUGGUGUCUCUGUGUGAUAUGUUCAAAAGCAUGAAUUUGAUGGGUAUUCAGAAACAAUAUUCAGUGUUGAACAAAUGUUGUUACAACAUUCAUGAACUGAAAAUCCUUUUAAAUCCGUUUAAAAAAGAAAGAAGAUAUCUUUAUACUCCUACACUCGAAAAACUUAAAAUAUUUGAUCAUUAACGUAUGCCAUACACUUAGAUUUUUUUUCUUCCUUUAAAUAACAGUGAGGACGUCAAAACUAUGUGCCAGAUAUAACUCAAGGUUUCUGCCCCAAGAUAAUCUCUGUGUCACAGACUGCUUCUCUUGUUCGAUUUGUUGGGGAUGUUGCUCUUUCAGUUACUGGCAUCAUUCUGUAAUGUGUACAUGACAUAAUUUCAUAUGUCCAUGUUACAUUUUUACAUUUUUAUUGUUUGAUACAUGUUUCAAUAAACUUCGGUCUUGACCAAAAUAUCUUUGUAACUUUAUUUGUAUUCCUACGAUAUUCUUCCUGUGCCUG